CCUACGGGUGGCAGCAGUGGGGAAUAUUGGACAAUGGGCGAAAGCCUGAUCCAGCCAUGCCGCGUGUGUGAAGAAGGCCUUCGGGUUGUAAAGCACUUUCAGUGGGGAAGAAAGCCUUGGGGCUAAUACCCUCGAGGAAGGACAUCACCCACAGAAGAAGCACCGGCUAACUCCGUGCCAGCAGCCGCGGUAAUACGGAGGGUGCGAGCGUUAAUCGGAAUUACUGGGCGUAAAGCGCGCGUAGGCGGUCUGAUAAGCCGGUUGUGAAAGCCCCGGGCUCAACCUGGGAACGGCAUCCGAAACUGUCAGGCUAGAGUGCAGGAGAGGAAGGUAGAAUUCCCGGUGUAGCGGUGAAAUGCGUAGAGAUCGGGAGGAAUACCAGUGGCGAAGGCGGCCUUCUGGACUGACACUGACGCUGAGGUGCGAAAGCGUGGGUAGCAAACAGGAUUAGAUACCCGUGUAGUC
rnacentral:rRNA from 1 species